rnacentral:lncRNA from 10 species
ACCUGAGCCUGGAUAAUUUAGAAAGAAAGGAGGUUCAAUUGGCUCAUGGUUCCGCGGGCUGUAUAGAGAUCAUGGCUGGGGAGGCCUCAGGAAACUUACAGUCAUGGCAGAAGGCAAAGGGGAAGUAAGCGUGUCUUACCAUGCCUGGAGCAGGACCGAGACAGAGUGGGGAGGUGUCACACACUUUUAAACAACCCGAUCUCGUGAGAACUCUAAACCAUUAGAAACCGCUGCCCCCAUGAUCCGGUCAUCUCCCACCAGGCCCCACCUUCAACACUGGAGAUUUGUGUGAGAACACACAUCCAAACCAUAUCACCUAACUUAAGAGUAUGCUUCUGUAACAAGCGACAUCUCCACCAAUCCCAGCAGCCAUACUUCAACCACUCACAGGGAGCCAACUGUUCUAACCAUGUUCAAAUAAGGCAAACGCUGAGCUGUAACCAGUGGAAUGUUUCUGUGUGUCUCUUUCAUUUUCAUUUUCUUUCUUUCUUUCUUUUUGAUUAAACCUCUUUCUCUUCUGCAGCCCUGAGAGUUGGGGUACAGACAUGCUGCAUGCAACGAACCUAUUAUGGUUACAGUUUAGCCUGGACCAGGCAACAGAAGUGGGUCCUCAGAAGACACUGAAUCUGCCAUUCCUUGACCUUGGACUUCAGCCUCCAGAACUGUGAGCCACAAAUGCUGGUUGGGAGACGAGGUUUCAUCAUGUUGCACAGGCUCAUCUCCAUCUCCUGAGCUCAAGAGAUCCACUCACCGUGGCCUCCCAAAGUGCUGAGAUUACAGGCAUGAGCCACCGCAGCUGGCCUGAACUGUACUCUUGAAAAUGGUUAAGAUAAUAAAUUUAAUGUUUUGUGUUUGCACUACAAUAAAACAUAGAGAGACCCCAGUUUAUGUUGCUUCAACUCUUGCCUCCUUUUCCUAUAUUUUUCUCUUCCGUUUUCUCCUCUCCUCCCUUUUUGUUACCCCCACUUUCCCCUGAACCUUGACAUAUUGCAAAGCCUUGCAAAAUAAACUGUUCUGAGAGUUGCUGAAAAGGGAUUGCACCCAUAAUACCAUGAAAGAGGUAUUGAAACCACAGCAACGACAGUCUCCAAUGGACACGAUGCCAGGUUUUGCAACAGCUGAAGAUGAAGAAAAGUGUAAUUUGUUUUUUGGUUUUUGUUUUUUUUUUUGAAACAGAGUCUUGCUCUGUUGCGCAGGCUGGAGUGCAGUGACACGAUCUCGGCUUACUGCAACCUCCGCCUCCAAGGUUCAAGCGAUUCUCCUGCCUC